GAAAUGCGAUACCUGGUGUGAAUUGCAGAAUCCCGCGAACCAUCGAGUCUUUGAACGCAAGUUGCGCCCGAGGCCAUUCGGCCGAGGGCACGCCUGCCUGGGCGUCACGCUAAACACGCUCCCACCCCCUCAUCGGGGAGUUGGAUGCGGCAUGUGGCCUCCCGUCGCGCAAGGGGCGGUGGGCCGAAGAUAUGGCUGCCGGCGUAUCGUGCCGGACACAGCGCGUGGUGGGCGACCUCGCUUUACUUACCGCAGUGCGUCCGACGCAUAGCCGACGUGAUGGCCUCGAAGGACCCUAUGAACGGUGCGCACGACGCUUCGACCGCGACCCCAGGUCAGGCGGGACUACCCGCUGAAUUUAA
rnacentral:misc_RNA from 1 species